rnacentral:lncRNA from 1 species
CAUACACCCCCACUUCGUACCAAUAGACAAAAUCUUUCAGACAAAAUAUCUCCACUCCAACUCCGCCGUCUGCGUUCGUACCAAUUCUAAGGUCGAUUUGAUUUCGUUGUUUUGAUUUCGUUCCUUCCUUGUUGAAUUUAUGAAGAUUUGCUUAAGAAAAUUGAUGAUAUUGGUUAAUUCUUGUUUGUUCUAGUUUCUGCUGCAAGCCUCACAGAAAGAGAAUAAGAACUUUUGAUUUUGAAAGCGGUGAAGAGUAACUCAACAGGAUCAUCGAAGCUUUGGAAGUUACGUGAUCCAAAAUUAAGAAGUAACAGUGACGGAAAAGGUUCGUGUUUUUGAAUCUAACUCUCGAUACUCACUCAUCAUCACCGUCGCCAACAACAACGUCGCCGGAAUCAUCCUCAAAAUGGUAAAACCAAAAGAGGUUCGAGAUAUUUUCUUCCUCUAAUUUCUUAUGUAUUCAAGUAAUUGCAGUGUGUUUUGAUUUUGGGAAUUAGGUUUGGAAAGGGUUUUUGCUGUUG